AACGGUAGAGUAGCAAUACUUGAGAGUGGCGAACGGGUGAGUAAUAUAUCGGAACGUGCCCAGUCUGGGGGAUAACGUAGCGAAAGCUACGCUAAUACCGCAUACGAUCUAUGGAUGAAANCGGGGAUCGCAAGACCUCGCGCGAUUGGAGCGGCCGAUAUCAGGAUUAGGGUAGUUGGUGAGGUAAAGGCUCACCAAGCCGACGAUCUGUAGCUGGUCUGAGAGGACGACCAGCCACACUGGGACUGAGACACGGCCCAGACUCCUACGGGAGGCAGCAGUGGGAAUUUUGGACAAUGGGCGCAAGCCUGAUCCAGCAAUGCCGCGUGCAGGAUGAAGGCCUUCGGGUUGUAAACUGCUUUGUACGGAACGAAACGGUGAGCUCUAAUACAGUUUGCUAAUGACGGUACCGUAAGAAUAAGCACCGGCUAACUACGUG
rnacentral:rRNA from 1 species